AUUUAAUUAGUAUAAAUGAGUACAUUUAAUUUCCAAUUAAAAAGUUUUAAAUAAAAUUAAAUA
rnacentral:tRNA from 1 species